GGAGGAGGGCUCGGGUCUGGGCGGCCCCAGCUGGGUGGCCGGCGGCGAGGCGGCCCCUCCCCCGCAGCCCCCUCCCCCUCCCCCGUCUCCUCCGCCCCAUCCUCCUCCGGGUCCCCGCAGCCGCCGCUCCAGGAGCAGCCGGCGGCGCAGCGGCCGCGCAGUCUUUGUCUCGGGCCGCGGGGCGGCGGGCCCAUCGCAGGUAGGCCACGCGGGGACGCAGGAGGCAGAGGACAGGCAGUGGUGAAGAAACAGGAGAGGAGCUGGCCAGCGUCAGCGUCACCACCACCACCACCACCACCAUCUCCUUCACCAUCACCAUCACCAUCACCAACACCAACCCCAUCCCCAUCGCUGACCGUCGCCCAGCCCAGCUCGCUCCAUCCUCACCUCCUCGUUUCUCUGUGUAACGCCAACUUUAUCAGAUCAUUUCCUUUUCAUGGGUAAUACUUUGAAAAAGCGGUGGAUUACCUCAAAUUAGGAAUAAACGCGUCUGCAGGGGACGUUCAGUCGUCUGUCCGUUGCCAGUUAGCGACCUCCGUUUUCCCAUCAGGAAAAGGGGCACAGUCAGACCAACGUGGCAGGGAUGCUUUCAGUUAGGACGGCUAGGAAGCCCAAAGUGAGCAGCACAGGGGACCUUCCCCUUAUGUAAAGUAACUUCCAGGAAACAGGCGCCUGGGUCCCCUGCAUCUUUGCCUACUGGUUAGAAAUGAACCUUGGAUGUCCACUUUUUGUGUUCUCACCCAAGACAGGCAACUAGAUAAUUCUAAAUUUCUUGACAUGCUUGGAAAAUUCUGUUGUCCCCAAGUCAGGAUUGCAGGGCAAUUGACCAGGGCAGUGGUUUGGUUCGCCCUGUGUCCUGUCCCUCCAGUUCCGGAAGAAGGAAGUGAUCAUGGCUAGCAUACUGCGGACCCCCGAGCAGCUGCUCUCAUUCCCGGAGUUUAAGACUCCUCAAACACCUAAGACCCUUAGGUUUCUUAGAUCUGACAAAAUGGGUGGAUGCUGGUACCAAUGGAAAUAGGAGGGGGAAAUCUAGUUUAUAAAAUCAUUUUUUACAUAUAUUUUGUUGUUAAUUUCAGUUUGCCAGUUAGUUUGGGAGACAUUUGGAUAGAACUAUCUACCAGGAAGUUGUAACCAAUAUUUAUCCAGCACAUUCUAUAUGCCAGGCGUGCUCUGGCCACCUGGGGUGCUACUGUGGCCAAGACGCUGAACCAGGCCCUUGUGAAGCCCACAUUUUAUCAGGUGGAGCUGCAGCCUGGGGCCGCCCAGGUGUACGUGGUGACUGAAGGCGUCAGAGUGACGGAGGUCGCCUGGUACGAUUUCAGUGAAAGUGCAGACGCUGAGGAUAAAACCUCUCGAGGAACAUCAGGAUGCUAGAAUGGAGAAGAGGAGACGCAGCAGAGGAAGCAAGAGAAGUGCGUGUUCAGAGGUCUAGGCAGUGGUCCCCAGUGUCAUGGAGAUGAGAAGUUAGGUAAGGUGAGGACUAGUGAUGGUCUCUGGUGGUGCUUCUCAGAGUGGGGUCCCCAGACCAGCAGCAGCACCUGGGGAUUUAGAAAUGCAGGUUCUUGUGCUCCACUCCAGACCUCCUGAAUCUGAAACUGACUCCGAGUCUGAACUUCUGACGGGGACCCAUCCGUCCAGGCGACACAGAUACUCCCUAAAGUUUGAGAACCACAGCACUAAUUGGGAAGGAAGUCAGUCAUUGGCGACUAGGAGACCAGGUGAAUGUAAUUUCACUGGAGCUACAGUCUCGGCAAAUUUUAAAAAUUGUAAUAGGCAUGUUAAAGUUUUUUUUUUUAUUUAGAAAUUUUAAAUAUUUUAUUUUCUUUUGCAUGUUCCAGUUUUUUCCUUUUGUAUAUGAACUGGUAACAGUUUCAUAUUUUGUUUCCCUCUGUCCUCUCUGAUUUGAAGAGUUUGGUUUUUAUCUCUUUUGAAACACUUCCAUUUAUAUGUAAGGCCACCUACCUCACUGAUAACUGGUUCACUGCCCUGGACUCUGAAAUUGAGGAAUUAAAAUACCGGAGUGCAAUCA